rfam:Cavia porcellus supercont2_110 genomic scaffold, whole genome shotgun sequence.
GUCUAUGGCCAUACCACCCUGAACGCUCCCGAUCUCGUCUGAUCUCGGAAGCUAAGUAGGGUCGGGCCUGGUUAGUACUUGGAUGGGAGAAAUGAGGCAGAGAAGAUUGGAUGGUAGGAACA